ACUCCUACGGGAGGCAGCAGUGGGGAAUAUUGCACAAUGGGGGAAACCCUGAUGCAGCCAUGCCGCGUGUGUGAAGAAGGCCUUCGGGUUGUAAAGCACUUUCAGUAGGGAGGAAGGUAGUGUAGUUAACACCUGCAUUAUUUGACGUUACCUACAGAAGAAGCACCGGCUAACUCCGUGCCAGCAGCCGCGGUAAUACGGAGGGUGCGAGCGUUAAUCGGAAUUACUGGGCGUAAAGCGCAUGCAGGCGGUUUGUUAAGUCAGAUGUGAAAGCCCGGGGCUCAACCUCGGAAUUGCAUUUGAAACUGGCAGACUAGAGUACUGUAGAGGGGGGUAGAAUUUCAGGUGUAGCGGUGAAAUGCGU
rnacentral:rRNA from 1 species